ACUCUAGUGUUGACCUCAAUCCACAUGUGUUGAGGUGGAUUGUGGUGUAAAUUAGUUUAUGUUACACCCCAAUCCAUCUCAAUACAUGUGGAUAGAGGUCAAUACUUGU
rnacentral:pre_miRNA from 1 species